GCCUGGCUGGCUCGAGGUUGAGCAUGUGACUCUUGAUCUCGGGGUCAUGAGUUCAAGCCCCAUGCUGAGCA
rnacentral:tRNA from 1 species